CUAUGUUGUAAUUGGCCCAGCGCAGCCAUAUGACAUACAAUAUACAUACUCGCGAUAGUAAAUAAUAGAGAAAUGCAGCAGGGAGAGCCAUUACAUUUUUACCCAAGUUACAUGCGCUCUUUGGAGAGAUUCUGGUGAACGACAUUGGACUUAUUUUCUGAAACCAGGACAAGAAUCAGACCACAGGUCGAUGACACUCAGAGUCAGAGAGACACCAGCAGAGGAUGUUGGGAAACACUGAAGCCGAUCAGAGAGUGAAGCUGCAGCUCAGAGCUGAUCCUCAACAUCCAGUGAGAGAAGAUGAUGCUGCUGCUCCUCAUCCUCACCUCCUCAGCAGCAGCAUUUGAAGUGAAGGUGACACAGAGCUCCUGUCAGGCAGAGGAGAACCACAACAUCACACUGGAGUGGACGUUCACCGCAGACACUCAGACUAAGACUGAGGAGAUUUUUGUCUUCUGUUUUCAUUUAACCCAAAGAAAAACCUCACUUCUGUAUCGGGCCCAUGACGGUGUUGAGAUCUCAGAGUCUGUGGAUGAAGGUUUUUCAGGAAGAGUCCAGAGUGACACAGACGCCCUCAGAGAAGGACGAAUCAGACUUCACCUGUCCAGACUCAGGACCGAGGACUCUGGUCUGUAUGUGUGUGAAGUGACGAUAGCUUCAGUUACCCACUUGGCCCUCUGUAACCUGACAGUCUCUGCAGCUGCUGCUCAGACACACACUGACAGACCAGCUCUGAGUCCACCAGCAGACACAAGAGGAUGGACAGGACUCAUCAUUGGACUCAUCAUUGGACUGUCAGUAGUAGUCGUGGUAGUUGCACCAUGUAUUGUUGUGUGUUGUUGUGUUUACAUUGGAAGACAAAAACACCGGUCCAAUGUUUCAGAGGAGCAAGCCAGUACUCCUCUUAAUCUCUCUGGAAUCAUUACAGCUUACAGAGACUGUAAGUCUGUAAGUCCAACUGUGAGUCCAAACCUUGAAGACAGACAAGACUCUAUGAUGGACUCAUAGCAGCAUUAGGAGUUUUACCAGUUUGCAUUGCUAGAUGUUGUUUUAUAUGCCCCCCCCCCCUGUUUACAAUUUUGCAGACAUCAUCUACAACAUUGCAGAAAACACCAAAACCUUCCUGCAAUGACCCAGAUGUCCAGUAUAACACUAUACAUCCUGAGGUUUCCAUCAGGAGACACUGAACACAUGUGAAGUAUUUGAAAUCAUGUUAAGCAGAGCUGCUACACACGGCAUGAUCAGUCUGAGCAGUAUCAAUAUAAAACACCAUCUGAUCAUCAUCAGGCUGUUUCUGCUGAGGCAGCCCAUAAAAUAAAAUAACAGGAUUCUAACCA
rnacentral:lncRNA from 1 species